rnacentral:lncRNA from 10 species
AGGUUUUGAUAGACUAGAAAAAUGACAAGACUCCAAGUCCUUGAAGAGGAGGAAAAGUGUGAAGAAAACAAAAAAGGGAGAUUUAUGUCUGCUUCACCAUUUUGCCCAAGACUUGACCUGUCAUACACUGAAGCAUUGGUUGUUUAGUAUACGCCCUAUGUAAAUGAAGAAACUAAAGUGAAGUUACAAAGUUAUUUACUCGGUGUACAUCAUAUGUAAAUGAAGAGGAUAAAGUAAAGUUACGAAGUCAUUGUAUUAGUUCAUUUUCACACUGCUGAUAAAGGCAUACCCAAAACUGGGAAGAAAAAGAGGUUUAAAUGGACUUACAGUUCCACAUGGCUGGGAAGGCCUCAGAAUCAUGACGGGAGGCAAAAGGCACUUCUUACAUAGCGGCGGCAAGAGAAAAAUGGGGAAGAAGCAAAAGCAGAAACCCCUGAUAAACCCAUGAAU